UGGGGAAUAUUGGGCAAUGGCCGAAAGGCUGACCCAGCGACGCCGCGUGUGGGAGGAAGCCCUUCGGGGUGUAAACCACUGUCAGGAGGGACGAAAGAGCGGGGAGUGAAUAAUUCUUCGCAGUGACGGUACCUUCAAAGGAAGCACCGGCUAACUCUGUG
rnacentral:rRNA from 1 species